UACGUAGGUGGCAAGCGUUGUCCGGAAUUACUGGGCGUAAAGGGCGAGUAGGCGGUUGGGUAAGUCUUUGGUGAAAUCUUCCGGCUCAACUGGAAGCAGCCCGAAGAAACUACCUGACUUGAGGGACGUAGAGGAGAGCGGAAUUCCUGGUGUAGCGGUGAAAUGCGUAGAUAUCAGGAGGAACACCCGUGGCGAAGGCGGCUCUCUGGACGUCUCCUGACGCUGAGGCGCGAAAGCGUGGGGAGCAAACCGG
rnacentral:rRNA from 1 species